rnacentral:tRNA from 1 species
GUCCGCGUAGCUCAGUUGGAUAGAGCAUUCCCCUCCUAAGGGAAAGGUCAUGGGUUCAAAUCCCAUUGUGGACGCCA